CCGAGAAUGACGAACCUCUGGUGUUCCGGUUGUCACGUCAGUGGCAGCGCCGGGUAGCUAUGUUCGGAAGGGAUAAGCGCUGAAAGCAUCUAAGCGCCAAGCCCAUCCCAAGAUAAGAUCACAAUCCAUCGCAAGAUGGUGCAAGGUCCGGGUAGACCACCCGGUUGAUAGGGCAGAAAUGUAAGCGUCGUAAGGCGUUCAGUUUACUGCUACUAAUGACCUUGCCGGUUUAUGCAA
rnacentral:rRNA from 1 species